rnacentral:rRNA from 1 species
GACGAACGCUGGCGGCGUGCUUAACACAUGCAAGUCGAACGGAAAGGCCCUGCUUUUGUGGGGUGCUCGAGUGGCGAACGGGUGAGUAACACGUGAGUAACCUGCCCUUGACUUUGGGAUAACUUCAGGAAACUGGGGCUAAUACCGGAUAGGAGCUCCUGCUGCAUGGUGGGGGUUGGAAAGUUUCGGCGGUUGGGGAUGGACUCGCGGCUUAUCAGCUUGUUGGUGGGGUAGUGGCUUACCAAGGCUUUGACGGGUAGCCGGCCUGAGAGGGUGACCGGCCACAUGGGGACUGAGAUACGGCCCAGACUCCUACGGGAGGCAGCAGUGGGGAAUAUUGCACAAAGGGCGGAAGCCUGAUGCAGCAACGCCGCGUGCGGGAUGACGGCCUUCGGGUUGUAAACCGCUUUCGCCUGUGACGAAGCGUGAGUGACGGUAAUGGGUAAAGAAGCACCGGCUAACUACGUG